rnacentral:rRNA from 1 species
UACGUAGGUGGCAAGCGUUGUCCGGAAUUACUGGGCGUAAAGCGCACGUAGGCGGCUUUCUAAGUCGGGGGUGAAAUCCUGGAGCUCAACUCCAGAACUGCCUUCGAUACUGGAAAGCUCGAGUCCGGGAGAGGUGAGUGGAACUGCGAGUGUAGAGGUGAAAUUCGUAGAUAUUCGCAAGAACACCAGUGGCGAAGGCGGCUCACUGGCCCGGUACUGACGCUGAGGUGCGAAAGCGUGGGGAGCAAACAGG